CAGCAUUUGACAAGGUGCCUCCAACAGUAAGAUGCAGGUAAUCAGUCCAAGAUUUUGGUGCCAGCCCCAGUUUAAGAGUUUCAUGCAGGAUAUUUAUCCACAGCUCUCCAGCUGAAACAUCCACAUAAGGCUUGAGCUUGACCUUGGAUGGAAUGUCCAUGGCCUCUAGCUGCAACGGUCAACUCCGACACAUAUCCCAUUCUGAAAAUAUGGUUUAUCGUGCGCGAUAUAUCGGAGACAGAGCUUGGAUGUAACACAGCUAACGUGUUUGCAGGGCAUACGUUGAUAUAUCAGAGGACCCAAAAUGAGGUGGAAUUAUUGAGGCUGCAUAUAGGUGGUUCCUGCUGUCAGAGUGAAUGGCGGGCUGGCCCCUACUAAGUUUCAUGCUUCUUCAAGCUGAGUGUCUGGGGAGUCAGAUUACUGGGACCCACUCCAGUUUUUCUUCAUAAGAAAGAACAAGUGUUUGAAAGAGAAAGAUGAAAGGUAUGUCUACAUAUACACUUGAGUUCAUAGCAGCAGCAUCAGCAUCAGCAUCAGCAUCAGCAUCGGCAAGAACAAGGCUUUUGGUCAGUCCAAUAUACAAAAAGAAAGCUGAAUUUACUUCCAUGUGAUAAUUCAUUAUCUUUUUUUGUGGAUUUAAAAGGUAUAUGGCUUCAUUGUCAAACUUGUAAUGGAGGUUAUGAGAGAGAGGGAUUGUUUAGGGGUGGGGCCAUGGACAUGUGAUCUUCAUAAGGGCGUGUAGUGGCCCAAGAAAAGGAAGAUAAAGAAAGAUUUGAAAAGA